rnacentral:rRNA from 1 species
GUGAACGCUGGCGGUAGGCCUAACACAUGCAAGUCGAACGGCAGCACAGUAAGAGCUUGCUCUUACGGGUGGCGAGUGGCGGACGGGUGAGGAAUACAUCGGAAUCUACUUUUUCGUGGGGGAUAACGUAGGGAAACUUACGCUAAUACCGCAUACGACCUACGGGUGAAAGCAGGGGAUCUUCGGACCUUGCGCGAUUGAAUGAGCCGAUGUCGGAUUAGCUAGUUGGCGGGGUAAAGGCCCACCAAGGCGACGAUCCGUAGCUGGUCUGAGAGGAUGAUCAGCCACACUGGAACUGGAACACGGUCCAGACUCCUACGGGAGGCAGCAGUGGGGAAUAUUGGACAAUGGGCGCAAGCCUGAUCCAGCCAUACCGCGUGGGUGAAGAAGGCCUUCGGGUUGUAAAGCCCUUUUGUUGGGAAAGAAAAGCAGCAGGUUAAUACCCCGCUGUUCUGACGGUACCCAAAGAAUAAGCACCGGCUAACUUCGUG